rnacentral:lncRNA from 1 species
GUCAGUGAGCGGAGGGAAUUUUUGUCCAACGUGCACCUUGACAGAGCUUCACUGACCACGGGCUGUGUCUCCCUGCGGCCGCGCAGCACCUCUGACCACAGACCUCUCUCCAGAGCCGUGUGUUUGCUCCUCACCUGACAGGCUGUGUGAGAACCCAUCUGUGCUUCCCCGGGAUGUCUGCCUGCAUGCAUGCACCCCCCGACUGUGCAUGGGAACCCUGCUGGGCCUCUCCAGAUGUUUUCCUGCAGCUCUCUACCUCGGCUGGCCUCUUUGCGGGGAAUUAACGGCCUCUCCUACUUUCUGGCUCACAGUUGCGCUGGGCCAGUGGGGCAUCUUGAAAGGAGAGAGAGAGACAAGUGGCUGCUCCUGCCCCUCUUCAGAAUCACUGUGUCAAGCAAGAGAAGCCACCCAGGAAAGAUAUGUGGGUGAAGUCAAGAACAGGCAGGACCGACCUACUGCGAUGGAAGUCAGAACACUGGAGGUUCGGUUUUGGAUUGGAGUUGACUUGAGGAAACUUUCUGAGGUUUGGAAAUGCUCUGUAUCCUGUUUAGGGCGGUGGUCGUGUGAGUAUAUGCAAUUGUCAAAACUCAUUGAACACAUACACAGAUUUUAUGGUGUCUAA